UUCAAGUCUCUACGCGUAUUUAGAACCCCCGAAAAUUAAAAUUUCUUAAAAGCCUCAAAGUGGUUCAAAAGUUUUGGCAAUAACACUGUAAGAAAGUAAAUCAGGAAGGAAACAAAAAAGGUAUAUUGUGAUUUUUCGAUUAAAUCAUUUUUUCGAAAAUGUAGAAAAUGUUGUCCGUUUUUUUUAUAAAAUAAUGAAAUCGUGAAAUUGUACGUUUU